UACGGGGGGGGGCAAGCGUUGUUCGGAAUUACUGGGCGUAAAGGGCCAGUAGGCGGCCAACUAAGUCGGAUGUGAAAUCCCCCAGGCUUAACCUGGGAACUGCAUCCGAUACUGGAUGGCUUGAAUUCGGGAGAGGGAUGCAGAAUUCCAGGUGUAGCGGUGAAAUGCGUAGAUAUCUGGAGGAAUACCGGUGGCGAAGGCGGCAUCCUGGACCAUAACUGACGCUGAGGCGCGAAAGCUAGGGGAGCAAACGGG
rnacentral:rRNA from 1 species